rnacentral:rRNA from 1 species
GGACCCGCACAAGCGGUGGAGCAUGUGGUUUAAUUCGAAGCAACGCGAAGAACCUUACCAAAUCUUGACAUCCUUUGACAACUCUAGAGAUAGAGCUUUCCCCUUCGGGGGACAAAAGUGACAGGUGGUGCAUGGUUGUCGUCAGCUCGUGUCGUGAGAUGUUGGGUUAAGUCCCGCAACGAGCGCAACCCUUAUCUUUAGUUGCCAUCAUUAGGUUGGGGCACUCUAGAGAGACUGCCGGUGACAAACCGGAGGAAGGUGGGG